GUAGGUGGCAAGCGUUGUCCGGAAUUAUUGGGCGUAAAGCGCGCGCAGGUGGGUUCUUUAAGUCUGAUGUGAAAGCCCCCGGGCUCAACCCGGGGAGGGUCAUUGGAAACUGGGGAACUUGAGUGCAGGAGAGGAAAGUGGAAUUCCACGUGUAGCGGUGAAAUGCGUAGAUAUGUGGAGGAACACCAGUGGCGAAGGCGACUUUCUGGCCUGUAACUGACACUGAGGCGCGAAAGCGUGGGGAGCAAACAGGAUUAGAUACCCUGGUAGUCCACGCCGUAAACGAUGAGUGCUAAGUGUUGGGGGGUUUCCGCCCCUCAGUGCUGCAGCUAACGCAUUAAGCACUCCGCCUGGGGAGUACGGUCGCAAGACUG
rnacentral:rRNA from 1 species